rnacentral:lncRNA from 1 species
AAAUGCUUGCCUGUGGACAUCUUGGAAUGUGGGGUUCCUCUACAGUCCUUUUUUGCCUGCUACCCUUCUAGGCUGAACUUAGCUAGCAUGAUUUGGGUGGAAAUAGAAUAUGGGACAUGAAAAUUUCUCUCUGUCUUUGUUUUUUUGAGAUAGAGUUUUGUUCUGUCAUCCAGGCUGGAGUGCAAUGGCAUGAUCUUGGCUCACUGCAACCUCCGCCUCCUGGGUUCAAGCUAUCCUGCUGCCUCAGCCCCUCGAGUAGCUGGAAUUACAGAUACUUUUGCCUUAUUGGAAGAAGUUUCAUAAUAAUUGCUGGCUCUCACCUAUGGCAACUCAGUUAUUUCCUUCAGAUUUUGACCUCAAGAAAUCCCAGGCAAUAUCAUACUGAAUGGGCAAAAACUGGAAGCAUUCACUUUGAAAACUGGCACAAGAAAGACAAGGAUGUCCUCUCUCACCACUCCGAUUCAACAUAGUAUUGGAAGUUCUGGCCAGGGCAAUCAGGUAAGUAAAAUAAAUAAAGGGUAUUCAGUUAGGAAAAGAGGAAGUCAAAUUGUCUUUAUUUUCAGAUGACAUGAUCGUAUAUUUAGAAGACCCCAUAAUCUCAGCCCAAAAUCUCCCUAAGCUGAUAAGCAACUUCAGCAGGUCUCAAGAUAUAAAAUCAAUGUGCAAAAAUCACAAACAUUCCUAUACACCAAUAACAGACAAACAGAGAGCCAAAUCAUGAGUGAACUCCCAUUCACAAUUGAUACAAAGAGAAUAAAAUGCCUAUGUAAGUGGGCUAAAUGCCUCAAUUAAAGACACACACUGGAAAAUUGGAUAUAGAGUCAAGAUCCAUUGUUGUGCUGUAUUAAGGAGACUCAUCUUGUGUGCAAAGACACACAGAGACUCAAAAUAAAUAGUUGGAGGAAUAUUUACCAAGCAAAUGGGAAGCAAUAAAAAUGGCAGUUUUAGUCUCUGAUGAAACAGACUUUAAACCAACAAAGAUCAAAAAAAAAAAAAAAAGAAGGAUGUUACAUAAUGGUUAAAGGAUCAAUGCAACAAGAAGAGCUAACUAUUCUAAAUAUAUAUGCACCCAAUACAGGAGCACCCAGAUUCAUAAAGCAAGUUUUUUGAGACCUACAAAGAGACUUAGCGUCCCACAUAAUAAUAGUGAGAGGCUUUAACACCCCAUGGUCAAUUUUAGACAGAUCAGUAAGACAGAAAAUUAAUAAGGAUAUUCAGGACUUGAACUCAGCUUUAGACCAAGCAGACCUAAUAGACAUCUGCAGGACUCUCCACCUCAUCAGCAGACUAUACGUUCUUCUCAGGACCAUAUUGCACUUAUUCUAAAACUGAUCACAUAAUUGGAAGUAAAACAUUCCUCAGCAAAUGCAAAAGAACAGAAAUCAUAACAUAACAAACAGUCUCUCAGCCCACAGUGUAACCAAAUUAGAACUCAGGAUUAAGAAACUCACUCAAAACCUCACAACUACAUGGAAACUGAACAACCUGCUCCUGAAUGACUACUGGGUAAGUGACAAAAUUAAGGCAGAAAAAAAUAAGUUACUUGAAACUAAUGAGAACAAAGGCACAAUGUACCAGAAUCUCUGGCACACAGCUAAAGCAGUGUUUAGAGGAAAAUUUAUAGCACUUAAAUGCUCACAGGAAAAAGUGGAAAAGAUCUAAAAUUGACACUUUAACAUCACAAUUAAAAAAACUAGAGAAGCAAGAGCAGACAAAUUCAAAAGCUAGCAGAAGACAAGAAAUAAUGAAUAUCAGAGCAGAACUGAAGGAGAUAGAGAUAUGAAAAACCCUUCAAAAAU